rnacentral:lncRNA from 1 species
CUUGCCUGCCCCAUCGGAGCCGCCGGAGGUGGAGUCCGCCCCCCGGACCCCCGAACUCCUGUGCGUGCCCCUCCAUGGUGCUCUAGGCUGUGGAGGGCAAGGCCAGUCCCCGGGAGCAGGGUGAGGAAGGGGCCCCCACGCAGCCCUGCUGUGGAUUGGCGGGAGGACCCCAGGCUGGGCCAACCCAGCAGCCCGCGGCCAGGAGCGGGCAUCCCAAUGGGGAAAUCGGCCAGGAGGGGCUGGGGAAGCUGGUGCCUUCGCCCGCGCCCCGUGAGCUUUACCUCCGUGCGACAAGAGCGGUGGCUCCGGGCGGGGCCCACGCAGCUGGAGCCUCCAUCUCUCCUGCGGGACCAGAGCACCGGGAAGACCUGACCGAGACCCAACGUCCCUGCCCCCGUUCUGGGGCUCUCUGCAGGCCCCAACUUCUGCGGGACUCUCCAGUGGGAGCAGCAAGGGUUCUCAGGAACAACCCCUAUACAAACCGGGACAGAGGCACCUCACUACUCCUUCUGUGCCCCACCUUCUCCACUGACCCUGCCGGAGUGCAGCACACACAGCAAGCAUUUAAUAAAUCGCUUGAAGUGGGGAACAUCUGUACUCGGUAAAGAAACCACAGGAAUUGGGAACUGCCGGUUGAAGAUUAUUUACCAGUUCCAGCAAAAUUGACUGCACCUGCCAUACUGCAGGCCGGUGCAGCAUCAGGAGCUGGAGACCAGGGGCAACAGGCAGCACGCGUGCUCCAGCUCAGAGUGGAAGGCCCUGGGAAAUGGUUUGAUUUCCUGCGCUGAACUGAUGCUGCUUCCAGAAUGAAUCUGCUCCUUGGUGGGUUCUGCUGAUGUGGCCAGUGCUAGCCUAGGCCACGACCACCUAGCCCACCACCCAGAAGGCAGCAUCCCCUGCUCCUGCUUUAACAAGCUGGCCCAUUUUCAUCUCUCCUACCUCUGGGAGUAGCAGGGGCGCUCCCGGAAGCUGACACCCCCUCCACAGGUCCGGCUGCAGGGGCUCCACUGGCUCCAGGGUCCCCAGGUGUCACUCUGCCGCCUCACCUUGGGAGCCUGCAGAAGACAGGACCAUGCAUCAGCAUUGCCCACUCACAGCCUGAGCCCAGAGGCCCCUCCAAAGAUGCUCUGCCUAAAACCCUCCCCUACCCAUCAAGGAGUCUGGGAUUCUCCCUUCCAGGGCCCACCUUUAGGACUCAGCAACACUGCCGGGCACCCCAAAACAUAUUCCUUUUCAGAAUUAGCCUGCUUUCCUCAUAAGGAGCUGAGAGCCAGGCCUGGAGGGCGGGAGCAGGAGCAGCUGGGAAGAGUUUGGAGUUUCAGGGGCCACUGGAGGGGAGGGACCCUACAGCCAGGGGCAGUUUGAGGGUCCAGGCAUUUGUAGGUUAACCGUGAUGUAGGGGAGGGGGGCCUAAAAGAAAAUAAAGGGAAGCAACGUGGGGGGAUCCUGCUAAUCUGGCCGAGACUCCCAGGAGUACCCCAAUAUUCAUCCCCUCCUUCUCCCAUUGUGAGAGAAUGCUUGAAAACUUGACUCAGCUGGGUACCUGGCUGCCCAAAAUUUAAAAAAAAAAUACAUUUCCUGGACUGCCUGCAGCUAACUGUGGCUACAUCACUUAGUUCUCAUCAGUGAGAUGUAAAUACAAGUGUUGGGCAGCUGCCGCAAAUAAUCUCCUCAAGAGAGA